CGUACACUCCUGCGGGAGGCAGCAGUGGGGAAUAUUGCACAAUGGGCGCAAGCCUGAUGCAGCCAUGCCGCGUGUAUGAAGAAGGCCUUCGGGUUGUAAAGUACUUUCAGCGGGGAGGAAGGCAAUACGGUUAAUAACCGUGUUGAUUGACGUUACCCGCAGAAGAAGCACCGGCUAACUCCGUGCCAGCAGCCGCGGUAAUACGGAGGGUGCAAGCGUUAAUCGGAAUUACUGGGCGUAAAGCGCACGCAGGCGGUCUGUCAAGUCGGAUGUGAAAUCCCCGGGCUCAACCUGGGAACUGCAUUCGAAACUGGCAGGCUUGAGUCUUGUAGAGGGGGGUAGAAUUCCAGGUGUAGCGGUGAAAUGCGUAGAGAUCUGGAGGAAUACCGGUGGCGAAGGCGGCCCCCUGGACAAAGACUGACGCUCAGGUGCGAAAGCGUGGGGAGCAAACAGGAUUAGAUACCCUUGUAGUCCCAUG
rnacentral:rRNA from 1 species